UAUCAUAGUGAAACACCGGGUCCCGUACGAACACCGAAGUUAAGCAAUAUCGAUCCCGGUAGGUACCUAGCUGGGGUGACCGCUUUGGAAUGCCAGGUGCUGUAA